rnacentral:rRNA from 1 species
ACUGAGGUGGCGACCGGCGCACGGGUGCGUAACGCGUAUGCAACCUACCAUAACGAGGGGAUAACACUGAGAAUUGGUACUAAUACCCAUAAUACUUUGGAAGGCAUUCUUUUGGAGUUGAAAGUUCAGGCGGUUAUGGAUGGGCAUGCGUUGUAUUAGCUAGAUGGUGGGGUAACGGCUUACCAAGGCGACGAUGUCUAGGGGAACUGAGAGGUUAAUCCCCCACACUGGUACUGAGACACGGACCAGACUCCUACGGGAGGCAGCAGUGAGGAAUAUUGGUCAAUGGUCGGAAGACUGAACCAGCCAUGCCGCGUGAAGGAAGAAUGUCCUAUGGAUUGUAAACUUCUUUUGUAAGGGAGCAAUAAGUUCUACGUGUAGGAUGAUGAGAGUACCUUACGAAUAAGCAUCGGCUAACUCCGUG